GAUGGGCCCGAUUAAACAGUGAACUGUCUCUGUCUGGCGUGUUGGUGGGUUAAGCAGGGUAGAGGAAUCAAAAGGCUUGGUAGGGGGGAAAGCCGGGCAGACCGGGGA
rnacentral:lncRNA from 1 species